rnacentral:rRNA from 1 species
UACGGGGGGGGCAAGCGUUGUUCGGAAUUACUGGGCGUAAAGGGCUCGUAGGCGGCCAACUAAGUCAGACGUGAAAUCCCCAGGCUCAACCUGGGAACUGCGUCUGAUACUGGAUGGCUUGAAUUCGGGAGAGGGAUGCAGAAUUCCAGGUGUAGCGGUGAAAUGCGUAGAUAUCUGGAGGAAUACCGGUGGCGAAGGCGGCAUCCUGGACCGACAUUGACGCUGAGGAGCGAAAGCGUGGGGAGCGAUCCGA